CAUUAUGAAACAUUUACAUUAUUUUAACUUCUUCAAAGUUAUGUUUUAGUUUAAACUAUCAUAAU
rnacentral:tRNA from 1 species